AUUGAACGCUGGCGGCAUGGCUAAAACAUGCAAGUCGAACGAGAAAGCACUUCGGUGCGAGUACAGUGGCGAAAGGGCGAGUAACGCGUACCUAACGUACCUCCAGGUGAGGGAUAGCUCGGGGAAACCCGUGGUAAUACCUCAUAACCCCGUAAUGUCGUAUGGCAAAUCGGGCAAAGGCUUGCUGCCUGGAGAUCGGGGUGCGUCCUAUCAGCUUGUUGGUGAGGUAACGGCUCACCAAGGCUUAGACGGGUAGCGGGUGUGAGAGCAUGACCCGCCGCAUCGGGACUGAGACACUGCCCGG
rnacentral:rRNA from 1 species